AGUCCGGGGAGGAGGAGGAGGAGCAGGCGGGCGGGCUGGCAGGCAAGCAAGCAGGCGGAGGAGGAGGAGGAGGAGGAGGAGGACACUUCGGUCGGGGAAGGAGGGAAGCCUACAGGAGGAAGGCUCGUAGCAGGAGCAACGCGCGCGGCCGCUGCUGUCUUUCUUGGAGUCGUCGCGGCUUCCUCUCCUCCUCCUCCUCCUCGGCGCGCUCACGUGGGCUGAGAGGCGCACGGCUUCCCCAAACCAACCACCUCAGCUUUCUCUCUAUUAUUCCCUUCCUUCCUUUUUUCCCCCCCUCUUAAGGACCGACUCCCCCGAGGAGAGCCAGCGCACUGCGAUCGACCACACCGAUCUUGGCGCGGGCACGGGCGGUCUCGUUCUCGCGACGGCGCGCCAGCCUGUGGGCAGCGGAGGGGCGGGGAGGGGAAGAGAGAGAGAGAGAGAAGAGGGCCGCCCCUGGUUGACAGCUUCCCUCCUAGGCACGGGCCUCCUCCUCCUGCUCCUCUCCUACCCAGAGGGCAUGGUCACGCGCGUUGGCAAGGCGUGGGCAGGCAGGGAAGUGACGGUGGGCUCGGUUUGUCAAUCUGUCAGGAAUCCUCCGGAGCGGGAAGCGGCGGCGAGAGUGGACCGGGGGUCUGGGUGGGGGGUAAAAGGGGAGACGGAGUAGAGUAAAGGACCCGGGCCCAAACUGGAAUGGGGAAAACUGACACCGAAGCGUACAGCCUCAGACUUUUCCCCGCCGCCGAAAUGAAGGCGGACUGAAAAACUCUGCUUCCCGGCAAGCAGUGCGUCCCCCGGCUUCGUGGUCGUGCUCGAGCUAUGGCAUGCUGGGAAUUGUAGUCUUCCUGAGAAGAAGGAACAGGUUGGACUCAGUUGAGGAAAGGUGAACGUUCUGCACAUUCUCCCCAUUAAUUUGCCUUUGUGCGCUAGUUUCCUCAGUAUAAUCCUAACCUCAUUUCGGGGUACCUAACUGGCAGUUGGUUGUAGCUGUACGGUAUGGUGCGGCUGGGCGCAGUUUAGUCCAUAAAUGUUAAUUUCAAAAACCGACGAAUGUGUCCUGCUCCGAAGAUCAGAAAAGGAGGAUAGGUUUGCCAUCCUUCAAAUUCACAGUUCUUGAAUAAUAUUCUGAUAAUUUAUUCAUUGUGUUUCCGGCUCUUAUUUAUUUACCACAUUGUAAAUUGAUUUGAAUUCCAAAAGCUGCAAAAGAAAUUUAUCUAAUCCUGUACCCACAAUAGUAAGACAGGUACUCGUUGUCAGUCAGAGCCAUAGUUUCAAGAUUUUCAAACCGGAACACUUGGCGGGCUUUAAAAUUAGUUUUUAAAACAUAUCAAUGUGGUGGGUUUUUUUGGUUACUAGGUAGCAAACUUCCUUAACCAUUGUGUAGAUUUGCAAUUUGUGUUGUUUGAUGUGGAGGGGUGGGGAAUAGUCAGAAGGGAAGAAUCAGAAUUCUCCCCCAAACCAAUUCCAUCCCAGUUCUUUAUUUGGAUGAAAGAGACUAUCAAAAAAUUGAGCCACCAUAUGUAUUCUAAUUAGCACGCAUAGGAAUGAGUUUUGAAUCACAUCUUCAUAUAUCCCCCCACAUGCGUAGGAAGUUGUGCUGUGAAUCUCACCCCUCUGUUGUCAUUAGCGCACUAUACUUGACAGUGUCUUCUCCCAAGCAAAGCCUUGGGCUAGGUGUCAUUCAGUAGCAUAUCAUAGAAGACACUCCCCUAGAUAUGUGAGAGUAUGACUUGGAGGUGGUUCAAAGGUUAUUCCAUGGUGUGUACUGUGUAACCUCAGUUCUUCAUUGGUUAAUAUUGGCAGGUGGAAACCAUGUUUGAAAGUGCCUUGUAUCUACAUGAAACGUUAUACUGGACAUGAUUCAAUAGCUUUAGAUAGAGUACACUUCUGAAUGCAAUUCACAGGAUUUCUCUAGGAAUACAGCAGGGUAAUAAAGGAACAAGAAUAUGAGGUAUCUUGGCCGGU
ensembl:lncRNA